GACGAACGCUGGCGGCGUGCUUAACACAUGCAAGUCGAACGAUGAACCCGGAGCUUGCUCUGGGGGAUUAGUGGCGAACGGGUGAGUAACACGUGAGUAACCUGCCCUGGACUCUGGGAUAAGCGUUGGAAACGACGUCUAAUACCGGAUAGGACCUUGGAUCGCAUGAUCUGGGGUGGAAAGUUUUUUCGGUCUGGGAUGGACUCGCGGCCUAUCAGCUUGUUGGUGAGGUAAUGGCUCACCAAGGCGUCGACGGGUAGCCGGCCUGAGAGGGUGACCGGACACACUGGGACUGAGACACGGCGCAAGCACCUGCGAGAGGCAGCAGUGGGGAAUAUGGCAGAAGGAGCGAAGGCCUGAGGCUGCUGCGCGGCUUGCGGGAGGACGGCCUUCGGAUUGUAAAACGCGUAAAGUAGGGAAGAAGAGCUUCGGCUUGACGGUACCUGAUGAAAAAGGAACGGCUAACUACGUG
rnacentral:rRNA from 1 species